CCUCCACAUCCCCACAUGCUCCCGCGCUCCACACAUCCUCACCGCUUACGGUCAGAAGAUAGCAAUGAAUAACAUUGGUAUUGUACUUAUUUCUAUUGCGAGGAACUUCUUUGUUUUUAAACAUGGGAAUAAGUGAAUUAGUUGAACCAGUAACAUUGCACUCAUGGCCAUCAAUAGAAAGCUUCUCUGUAUGUCUUUUAGAAACGUUCAAAUAUUCAAUCCAAAUCCAAAAUUCCUUUAAAUAAGAAAGAGUGACGACCUACCUUAGGAACUCGUGGAACAAGAAAAUCUUCAUACUCUAGCUGUUCAGAGUAUCCACAAAGAUGUAAUACUGACACUCUGAGAUUCAACCAGAAAGUAACAGAGUUGUUUACAUCACAAAAAAUAAGAAGAGGGCAAUUCCUUAAUAAAUAAGGUGACUGUGAACAGCUUUAUUAUUUCACAUAGCUUUCAAGACUUACUUUGAAGCAUGCAGUUUCAUAGUAGCAAUAAUAUUGACACAGCUAUCAAAAUGAAUUUGUUAACAGGAAAUAUAAUUUUCACAGUUGUCCUUAAAUAUAGAUUAUCAUCAAUUAUUAUUAUUGCUACCAUAUCCAUCGACACUUAUGCAAGAAAUGUUAUCAUCAUAUUAGUUUUGUGUUUUAACUCCACCAUUCAUUUAAACCAUGAGUUGCCACUGGCUUGGGUGCUGUGUGAGCUCCUGGCAACUGAAGCAUGUUAAGGCCUCUCGUCCACUGGAAGCGGAAAGCUGCGGAAAGUUGCGAUGAGGAGUUCGUCCGAACACGCACGGAAACGGACGAACGAUCCUAACAGCUUGCAUCAGGUUAGAGUGCGUCCAUUGGUAGCAGCACUAUUCGUCCGUGAACGCGCGUAUACUUGCGAACUGCGAAAUAUCCAGAUUGGUUUGGAUUUUUCGGACGAAGAGCUGCGUUCACCACCUACGAACUGAUACUGUUCAACCGAGAAAUCUGUCGAGUAGUGUUCCUGACAUUGCGGACGCCUGUAUUGAGACAGGCACUGAUAAUAUUACAACACAAAGUGAAUAUAAUGAUGCAUUUUCUACUCCAGAUUUUCAAUCAGAUAUCGAGAAUGAUGCACCUGUAAAUACGUCUCCGGCACAAAAAGAGCAUUUCAAAAGUCCGCUAAAAAGAGGAAAGAAAAGAAUUAAUUACGAUGACAAAUUCUUCGAAAUAGAAUCUAAAAAGUUGAGCUAUUUCGAAAAGAGCUCUCAAAUGAAGCAGGAUAGUGACUAUCAAUUUCUGAUGAGCUUGCCUGAAGAAAGACAGCUGCGAUUACGCAUGAAAUUGAUGGAUGUUUUACUGCAGGAACAGGAGGAUCGAAACAGCAGCGUGAUGUCCACGUCAAAUGUUUCGCCUCUAUCCCUUGAAUCGACACGCAGUUCCCAUAAUAGUUCCCACAGCAAUGAAUUUGUAACAGACAAGAACAGUGCCGCUGUGUAUCAUAGUAAUUUCGAUCCUUUGUAGAAACAACGGUUUGUAUGUAAUCACUAAGAAGCAAGAAUAAUAUAACAUCGAUGUAAUAUUUUGUUUUCUCAAACUCUUAUCAAAUCCUUAACUUAACGUUACAGCUAGGCGUUCUUCAGGUGAAAUAGUUUCUCGGAAGUUACUGUACUUCUUCAACUGAUAUACUUUGCUUAAUGUGUAUUCAAAUGUAUCUUGCUUCAUGCGAAAAUAACCAAAAUACUGUGACUCGUCCUCUUGUGAAUCACUCCAUAUAUGAGAAAAUUCAUCAAACGUUUGUCUUUUUGGUAAAAUUCCACUAAUCCACUCUUUUCUCCUAUUCUGUGCUCGUCACCUAGCCAGUAAGGGAGUAUCAAACGCGUACAGAUCACAUAAAUCUUAAGACAGCGCCAUGACAGAACGCGAAUGGCAUCGGCCGAACACGCAGCCAAAGGACGCGCAGUGAACGCAC